rnacentral:rRNA from 1 species
UACAGAGGAUGCAAGCGUUAUCCGGAAUGAUUGGGCGUAAAGCGUCUGUAGGUGGCUUUUUAAGUCCGCCGUCAAAUCCCAGGGCUCAACUCUGGACAGGCGGUGGAAACUACCAAGCUUGAGUACGGUAGGGGCAGAGGGAAUUUCCGGUGUAGCGGUGAAAUGCGUAGAUAUCGGAAGGAACACCAGUGGCGAAAGCGGCUUCCUGGUCCAGCACCGACGUUCAGGCACGAAAGCGUGGGGAGCAAACAGG